rnacentral:rRNA from 1 species
GAUGAACGCUGGCGGCGUGCCUAAUACAUGCAAGUCGAGCGAACAGACGAGGAGCUUGCUCCUUUGACGUUAGCGGCGGACGGGUGAGUAACACGUGGAUAACCUACCUAUAAGACUGGGAUAACUUCGGGAAACCGGAGCUAAUACCGGAUAAUAUCUUGAACCGCAUGGUUCAAUAGUGAAAGACGGCUUUGCUGUCACUUAUAGAUGGAUCUGCGCCGCAUUAGCUAGUUGGUAAGGUAACGGCUUACCAAGGCAACGAUGCGUAGCCGACCUGAGAGGGUGAUCGGCCACACUGGAACUGAGACACGGUCCAGACUCCUACGGGAGGCAGCAGUAGGGAAUCUUCCGCAAUGGGCGAAAGCCUGACGGAGCAACGCCGCGUGAGUGAUGAAGGUCUUCGGAUCGUAAAACUCUGUUAUUAGGGAAGAACAAAUAUGUAAGUAACUAUGCACGUCUUGACGGUACCUAAUCAGAAAGCCACGGCUAACUACGUG